rnacentral:RNase_MRP_RNA from 1 species
CUCCCUCACUCCACCCUUCGGCGUCUGCGCCCUGACCACCGCGUCGGUGUUUUACAGAGAUGUUGUCGCUGCCUAUCUCCUCGUUGGUAGUUUAUUUUCUACCCUCGUCAGUUCGAUU